rnacentral:rRNA from 1 species
GACGAACGCUGGCGGCGUGCUUAACACAUGCAAGUCGAACGGAAAGGCCCUGCUUUUGUGGGGUGCUCGAGUGGCGAACGGGUGAGUAACACGUGAGUAACCUGCCCUUGACUUUGGGAUAACUUCAGGUAACUGGGGCUAAUACCGGAUAGGAGCUUCUGCUGCAUGGUGGGGGUGGGAAAGUUUCGGCGGGUGGGGAUGGACUCGCGGCUUAUCAGCUUGUUGGUGGGGUAGUGGCUUACCAAGGCUUUGACGGGUAGCCGGCCUGAGAGGGUGACCGGCCACAUUGGGACUGAGAUACGGCCCAGACUCCUACGGGAGGCAGCAGUGGGGAAUAUUGCACAAUGGGCGGAAGCCUGAUGCAGCAACGCCGCGUGCGGGAUGACGGCCUUCGGGUUGUAAACCGCUUUCGCCUGUGACGAAGCGUGAGUGACGGUAAUGGGUAAAGAAGCACCGGCUAACUACGUG